AAUGGCUUGGAUUUUUUUUUGUUUUUUUUGGUUUAUAAGUUUUAAAAUUUGAAUUAAAUUUUUAUAAAAAUUAUCGAGUUGUUGUUCCUUUUUUUUUUUCCAUCAAUAAAAGGUUUUAAUUAUAAAAAAAA
rnacentral:ribozyme from 1 species